rnacentral:rRNA from 1 species
UACGGGGGGGGCAAGCGUUGUUCGGAAUUACUGGGCGUAAAGGGCUCGUAGGCGGCCAACUAAGUCAGACGUGAAAUCCCCAGGCUCAACCUGGGAACUGCGUCUGAUACUGGAUGGCUUGAAUUCGGGAGAGGGAUGCAGAAUUCCAGGUGUAGCGGUGAAAUGCGUAGAUAUCUGGAGGAAUACCGGUGGCGAAGGCGGCAACCUGGACCGACAUUGACGCUGAGGAGCGAAAGCUAGGGGAGCAAACAGG